rnacentral:rRNA from 1 species
CCUACGGGUGGCAGCAGUGGGGAAUAUUGGUCAAUGGACGAGAGUCUGAACCAGCCAAGUAGCGUGAAGGAUGACUGCCCUAUGGGUUGUAAACUUCUUUUAUAUGGGAAUAAAACAAGGUAUGCAUACCCUCUUGUAUGUACCAUAUGAAUAAGGGUCGGCUAGCUCCGUGCCAGCAGCCGCGGUAAUACGGAGGGUCCGAGCGUUGUCCGGAUUGAUUGGGUUUAAAGGGAGCGUAGGUGGAUUGUUAAGUCAGUUGUGAAAGUUUGCGGCUCAACCGUAAAAUUGCAGUUGACACUGGCAGUCUGGAGUACAGUAGAGGUGGGCGGAAUUCGGGGUGUAGCGGUGAAAUGCUUAGAUAUCACGAAGAACUCCGAUGGCGAAGGCAGCUCACUGGACUGUAACUGACACUGAUGCUCGAAAGUGUGGGUAGCAAACAGGAUUAGAUACCCUUGUAGUC